ACACCCUCAAGCCUAGCUUGGUGUUGGGCGUCUGUCCCGCCGUUCUCGCGCGCGGACUCGCCUCAAAGUCAUUGGCGGCGGUCGUGCCAGCCCCCUCGCGCAGCACAUUUGCGCUUCUCGGAGGCCCGGCGGAUCCGCGCUCCAGCAAGACCUUUCACG
rnacentral:misc_RNA from 1 species